AGCCUCAAUCAUCAGGCUGGUCCCCGAGCUCUCACUCACUGAUCUCUGAUCAAUCUGGCUUGGCAGCUCAGAAACCCCAAUGCUCCAUUCCAACACCCCUGUUAUAAGCAGUGGCCUGGCCAGGCUGGGGAGUCACCACCCAGGUUCUAGGGGCAGCAAGAAUCGAGAAUUGCCAGAUGAGCAGACUGAGGCUUGGAGAAUUUGAAGCAGCACCUCCACCAUCGCCAUCCACAUCUUCUACCUCCCAGGCUUGCACAGGGCACACUGGCUACCCUGCGGACACUUGGGAGACCCAAGCAGAGUGGCCCGGGCUGCCUUCUCUGAGGUCGGGUCAGCCCUGCUCAGGUCGUUGCAGGAGGGCUGCUGAAGAGGCAGCCUUGUUGGAAUUCGGCGCCCAUGACAAGACUCUCUUGUGAGGUUUCGGACAAUCCCUGCCCACAUUUUCCUCCGCUCCUUCCUGGUGCCACCAGACUCCUGGCCCUCGAUGUCCGCUACCCUGGCCCGUUGAGAGUCCUCUGGAGCUUGUGCAGAGCAGAUGGGUGAUGUUCACCCAGCACAACCAUUCUGACUCAGUCCCUCAGGGCUGGUACAUACUGUGUGCCAAGGUUAAUUAAACCAGUAAUUAGAAGGAGAGAUGCUUAAUCUACCUGGUUAAUAAAAUAACUCCCCUCA